UCAAUAGACGGCUAGGGUUCCGGUCUGCGCGAGCGGGUGUCUGGUCCGAGAGCUAUCGACCCCUUUGAGGGGUUACACGGCGGGACAAAAGCCCUGGAGAU
rnacentral:sRNA from 2 species